GCUCCUUGGCUUAGUCGGGAAAGCAACCGACUAUGAUGCGUUAAGAUUCGGGUUCGAGCCCCGGUUUACCAUGGAUGUA